AAGGAGUUAUGAACGUGAAAUAGUGACACAGACUGGCUACACCAUCUCAUCUGCAGCAGAGAUUGUUAUGUAUGUUGUAUCAGAAGGACAGCGCGUUUGUUUGACGCACUUUUCACUUCAACUGUGUCUGACAGGAGAAUUAGCUUUCUGAACCUUCUAGCCGUUGAGUUACCAUGGCAACCGCGUACACAUCAGCUGCUGGAGAGGAGAGGACUCGUCUGACAUUUUCUCUGUUUCUCGUCAGUUAUACCAAAGAAAAGGCCAACAACUGCGACAGAUUUUGAUUUCAGGAGUGUCUUAAAAACCCUCUAAAACAGAGGAGAAGUUCCAAGAAAAUGUCUAACGGGAGCUGCUGACAGAGAUAGAAAACACAGUUUGUUUAUUUCUAAUAAGGAGCUGGAGGCCGUGAAGAAACAGAUCCACGAUAUCGUGGAGAAGCAGGCCCAGCUGAGCGAGUGGAGAGCUGUGCUGGAAAUAUUCAGGGGUUGAUGCUCAUAAGUCCAGGUGUAAGACAUGAUCCAGGCCCUGGGCGACGACCUCUCUCCAUCCGCCGCCUCCGGUCUUCAGGAUCUCCACCAGAACCCGAUUCGCUCCACUUCGCGAGACAGAACAAAACGCUGUGAUCAUCAGAGACUCCAUCAUC